rnacentral:rRNA from 1 species
GCGGAGGGAUCAUUAAAGAGUUCUAUAACUCCCAAACCCAUGUGAACAUACCUAACGUUGCCUCGGCAGGUCGCACCUACCUUGUAGCACCCUACCCUGUAGGGCCUACCCGGGAGGUGCGGGUAAGCCUGCCGGCGGCCCACCAAACUCUGUUUGAUAUUGAAUUCUGAACCUAUAACUAAAUAAGUUAAAACUUUCAACAACGGAUCUCUUGGUUCUGGCAUCGAUGAAGAACGCAGCGAAAUGCGAUAAGUAAUGUGAAUUGCAGAAUUCAGUGAAUCAUCGAAUCUUUGAACGCAUAUUGCGCCCAUUAGUAUUCUAGUGGGCAGGACCGUUCGAGCGUCAUUUCAACCCUUAAGCCUUCGUUGCUUAGUGUUGGGAGCCUACGGCAACGUAGCUCCUCAAAGUUAGUGGCGGAGUUGGUUCACACUCUAGACGUAGUAAUUUUUUAUCUCGCCUAUUAGUUGGACUAAUCCCCUGCCGUAAAACCCCCAAUUUAUAUCAAGGUUGACCUCGAAUCGGUUCAGACAAACUCGCUAAAUUGAAGCAUCUUAGUCAGCGAAGGAAAAGAAACCAACAGGGAUUG